AUUGAACGCUGGCGGCAUGCCUUACACAUGCAAGUCGAACGGCAGCACGGGAGCAAUCCUGGUGGCGAGUGGCGAACGGGUGAGUAAAAUAUCGGAACGUGCCCAGUAGUGGGGGAUAACUGCUCGAAAGAGCAGCUAAUACCGCAUACGACCUGAGGGUGAAAGGGGGGGAUCGCAAGACCUCUCGCUAUUGGAGCGGCCGAUAUCAGAUUAGCUAGUUGGUGGGGUAAAGGCCUACCAAGGCAACGAUCUGUAGUUGGUCUGAGAGGACGACCAGCCGCACUGGGACUGAGACACGGCCCAGAAUCCUACGGGAGGCAGCAGUGGGGAAUUUUGGACAAUGGGCGCAAGCCUGAUCCAGCAAUGCCGCGUGCAGGAAGAAGGCCUUCGGGUUGUAAACUGCUUUUGUCAGGGAAGAAAUCCUCUAGGUUAAUACCCUUGGGGGGAUGACGGUACCUGAAGAAUAAGCACCGGCUAACUACGUGCCAGCAGCCGCCGUAAUAC
rnacentral:rRNA from 1 species